GAUGAAGAACGUAGCGAAAUGCGAUAAGUAAUGUGAAUUGCAGAAUUCAGUGAACCAUCGAAUCUUUGAACGCACAUUGCGACCGGCAGUAAUCUGCCGGGCAUGCCUGUCCGAGCGUCAUUUCUGCCCUCGAGCGAGUCCAGCAUCUAGGUGCUGGGCCCGCCCGGCGUUGGGGCACUACGGGAAGCCCUGUGCUGUCCCCCGUAGGCCCCGAAAUGAAGUGGCGGUCCUGCCGCGGCGCCCGCUGCGUAGUAUAACAGCUCGCUUCGGGACCCGGUGGAGGCCUGCCGUCAAACCUUACUCUCUAAGUUUGACCUCGGAUCAGGUAGGGUUACCCGCUGAACUUAAGCAUAUCAAUAAGCGGAGGA
rnacentral:misc_RNA from 1 species